CCUACGGGAGGCAGCAGUGAGGAAUAUUGGUCAAUGGCCGGGAGGCUGAACCAGCCAAGCCGCGGGAGGGAGGAAGGUACAGAGUAUUGUAAACCUCUUUUGUCAGGGGACAAAGUCAGGGACGUGUGCCUGACUGAGUGUACCUGAAGAAAAAGCAUCGGCUAACUCCGUGCCAGCAGCCGCGGUAAUACGGAGGAUGCGAGCGUUAUCCGGAUUUAUUGGGUUUAAAGGGUGCGCAGGCGGCCUGUUAAGUCAGCGGUAAAAGCCCGGGGCUCAACCCCGGCCCGCCGUUGAAACUGGCUGUCUAGAGUUGGAGAGAGGUAUGCGGAAUGCGCGGUGUAGCGGUGAAAUGCAUAGAUAUCGCGCAGAACUCCGAUUGCGAAGGCAGCAUGCCGGCUCCACACUGACGCUGAGGCACGAAAGCGUGGGUAUCGAACAGGAUUAGAUACCCCAGUAGUC
rnacentral:rRNA from 1 species